GACAGAGGUUGCAAACGUUGUUCGGAAUCACUGGGCAUAAAGCGCACGUAGGCGGUCUGUUAAGUCAGGUGUGAAAGCCCCCGGCUCAACCGGGGAAUUGCAUUUGAUACUGGCAGGCUCGAGAACGGUAGGGGUGAGUGGAACUCCAGGUGGAGCGGUGAAAUGCGUAGAUAUCUGGAGGAACACCGGUGGCGAAGGCGGCAUCCUGGACCAACACUGACGCUGAGUGAGCGAAAGCCAGGGGAGCAAACGGG
rnacentral:rRNA from 1 species